rnacentral:lncRNA from 1 species
CCAAGUGAAUAGGGAUGAGUUCAUUUUAGUUUGAAUUCAAAUUUGAUUUGAAUUCAAAUGUGUAACCACUUGUCUUUAUCCUCUCACGCGGAUAAGACAUGUUUUGAACUGUUUUAAAAGAGAUAGGGAGCUAGGGCGUGCAUAGAAAAAUUUUGAGAAAGCAAGUGGGAUGUGAGGAAGCCUUGUGCAUGAGGUGAAGGUCCAAAACCUUCCGAGAGAAAAAGAAAGAAAAGAAAGAAAAUUGGGUGCAGGGUUUUUGGUGUGUACCCUAGGGUUUCUACCUAGGGUUCGAGAAGUGAGAUUGGUGUGCCACG